AUGGAGCAACGGGCGGCGCGACGACAGGCCACGACGCUGGGGUUCGGAUGUGUCUGUUUGGUGCGUGGGAACCCCCCGGGGAAUUAUUUGCUCAGCUGGGCGACCAGACCAAGUGGCCUGUCAUGCAGCGCGGGUGGCGCCCAACUGUCCGGGCAGCGCGGCAUGCAUGUGCGCGGCGCCACCCGACGUGGCCGAAGGCGGCGACCGGCUCGCCGUCGUCGCGUGCAUGCACGGCGCCACGCGCGACGUACCUCGCUGGCUGGCCGGGCCGGUAGGCGACGCCCCGGCCCUGCGGACCCGCUCGAUUGGUGGGAGUGUUUAUGCAUGCAUGGUCCUGGGAAAUGGUGUCGUUUGUCUCCUUUGGCGUUCUUGGCGACGCCUGCAUGA
rnacentral:rRNA from 1 species